UUUUCGUUAAAACUCCAUUAAAAAAAAAAACAACCAUGGAGGGAGUCGAAGACGCGGCAUCGCUGAUCAACUCCGCCAACACUCCGCUGCCGCCGUUUCUGAACAAAAUCUACGAUAUGGUGGAUGAGCCCUCCACCGACACCUUUGUCUCCCUCCUGGAGCAACGGCAACAACAGCUUCGGCGUCUGGAACGUCCCUGAGUUCUCGAGGGACCUCCUGCCCAAGUAUUUCAAGCACAGAAAUUCUGUAACUUCGUCAGGCAGUUGAAUACUUAUGUGGGUAUUUCUUCCCUUUCCUAAAUUUUGGUUCUUUCGUGCUUUUUCUGCAUUUGAUUCUUGUUUUCGCGGUGAUUCCGGUCGGAACUGGGAAAUUCGGAGUGGUUACUCGGGAUCAAUGUUCAAUUAGGUUUUGCAAUUGUUAUUUUGGCAAAAGGGUUAUCGAAUUUGAGGUUGUAAAUUGUGAAGAUAAAUUAUGUUUGUUGAAUUGUAUACUUUGUCAUUCAUUGGGUUCCUUAGGUCUAGUCGAUCAUGUAAAAGUGAUUUCAAUUUGUGGUGUUUGUUCUGAACCAGGUGAAAACCUGGAAGGAAAAAGGACAUAAAGAGGUCAGAACUACAUUGAGAUAUAAAAUUUGAGCCGACUACUUUCGUGCAAAUUGCCUUGUUUUACGUGCUUCUUGGAUAAAUUUGUUCCAUUGCAUUGCUUCUUCUUAUUGUAGUAACUAUGAGAAAAGGGCAAGCAAAACCUACUCCUAACAAGUUGCUGGCUUUUCAGCCGUGCAAGUUGUGCUUAUUAUGCUGUGAGGGAAGAUCCUUUACAUUGAUGAAGAUAUUUUCUGAAAUGAUUGGUAGAUGUUUUCUCAAAAGAUUUCAGUUGAAAUACCAAUUGUAGUGACUGUCAUUGCCAUAUCCGCAAGGUCUCUAGAUUAUUCAAUGUGCCCAUCGUUCUUGGCACAAGGAUAUUUAUUAGACUCUGGCAUCUGUAACUUUAUCCAUCGAUCAUACCUUCACCCUCCAAGCUUGAUGAAACAUUAGGUGAAAUCAGUCCAAGUCCAGAGCAACCACUCAAAUUCAAGAUCGUGCAUUCUAACACUUUGAUCAUCAUAACCGUCUUUGAAUCAAUGAAUGAAAUGCAUUUCGUGCCUCUUCCACAGUAUCGACAAUUUUAAACAACUCUAAACCCAUAAUAUAUAUCAAACCAGACUCUGGACAAUGCCGAACAAUUCCUCAAGCACUCGGGCAAAUACCCUAUUAGAUUGUUAUUGUUCACUUUGAAACUUGCAAAGCAAAUCUGCUACACAACUCCGGUGACAGUUACAAAAACCAAGCUCAAAAGCGAUUGGAAGAGUUUAAGGAAUUCUCACCAAGGUCAAGGAUUCAUAGAUAAUAGAUUUGGCAUGCGCUGCCAGGCGUGUAACUGUGUAAAGACACUCUCUUCGUUUCAUUUAAAACGGUACAUCGACUAUUUCGAUGAAAUUCUCUGUUUGUGCCAUGGCUGCUGAGGGUAUUUUCCCCACUUAUAUUAUGUCUUUCUUUUGUUUAUCUGCGGCUUUCAUGCUGAAUUAUUGCUCUUUGAAUUGUUUUGAGGAUAACCAAUUGGUCAAAUUGUUCAAAUUUUGGAUUUCAGUGACCUUUUGUGUGCAUUUUUGGUUUGGUUCUUAAUUGAAAUGAAUCGAAUUGAAUAUUUGUAACCAAAAUAAUUGAUUUUUAAAAUUGCCCAAAAUUUUCAAAUUUGGUAAUUUAGUGUGCUUUUAUGUGCAGUUCUGGUUUGUUUCUUAUUUGAAAUGAAUUGAAACGAAUUAAAUAUUCAUUAAGCCUUUAUGCACAUUUCUGGUUUAAUCCAUUAUUCUAACACAUACAAUAUUUAUAAUUUUUCACCACUCAAAUGCAUCAAUGUUUACAGAAAUCACACAAGCAUUAUUUCCCAAACACCAAAACUGAAAAUGUAGCGAAUAAAGCCUCAAAUACAAAUCACACUAUCACGACGAAACACACAAGUCAAUACAAGCAUAACAUGACGUGGAAUAUGAUUCAGUGCCUUCUCAAAUUGCACAGAGAAUAGUUAGAGCAAGUAACAAGGAAAAUCAGAGUGCCUUCCUGUCUGUUCUCCAGGCUAAUAUUUCUUCCUUGAAAAGGAAAAACAAAAGGCAGAGGAAAAUAACGAACAAACA